AUUCUCUAUGGUAGUGCUUAACACUACGGAUGUGAUAUAUUUGUGGCCACACGUAGAUUUCCCGGCGCUGUUUCGCCUCUUCCGUGGCGCGGAAUUCAAACAGCGGAUACUCAUCUGUCAAUCAUUCGCUCUGAAGGAGAGGAGACGCGUUUUACGAUCGGAGAUUUCUUCACGAAAUUGUUUUGUUUGAACAACAUACGCUGCCAAACUCCCAACAAGCAGGAAUGUUUAGAUGAUGCGUGCUCUGUCAAGACACCCUCCUCCACAGAGUAGGUCACCCUAAAGAUGGUCUCACUCUCAGUCCACCAAAACAUCACACCAGACACUUUGUCAGUGGAGGAUCAAAGGUCAGAAGGGUUUCUUCCAGAUGCAGAACACCACACCAUUGGCCAUAAAAGCGUCCCUCGAUCAGCUCACACUGGACCCCUCAGAACAGCUGGUCUUCGUGUUGGACCAUAGAUGGACAGAUCUGUUGAGAAUUGCCCGUGAACAUCUCUUGGCAAUGCACCAUAGGAGCAAGGAUCUUCUUAAACAGGUCAAAGGCUUUUUCUUUCUUCUUCUGUGUUUUCCACAACUUUAAAUUGUAUUAUUAUUAAUAUUAUUGUAGCUGUUGUUGUUUAAUCUACAAUUUUAAAUUAUUUAAUUGAUUUCCAUUUGUUAAAUAAAACAUCAGAAGUAUUGGCCUUGUUUACACUGUACUUUAGUGUGUUAAUUAAUUGUAUCGACUCUGUAUUGUUAUUUUAUCUUGCUCAGUUUUGUAAACAUGUUAGUUUACAAUGUUAGUUACGGCUAUUAUUAAACUCUGUAAAUAAAUAUUUUAUUUAAAAUACUCUACCAGUCAAAUGUUUUUCAGCAGUAAGAUUUGUAAUGUUUUUUGAGGAGUCUCUUCUGCUCACCAAGCCUGCCUUUAUUUUAUCCAAAAGUACAGCAAAAACAGUAGCAUUUUAAACAUUCUUACUAUUUUAAAUCAGCUGCUUUCUAUUUCAAUUCAAUUCAAGUUUAUUUGUAUAGCAAUUUUUACAAUACAAAUCGUUGCAAAGCAACUUUACAGAAAAUUAUGUUUCUACAAUAUUUAGUAGUAGAUUAAGGCGGUGACUGUCAGUUUGUGCACGUUUGACAGGAUUUUUAGAAAAAUGAAUACAAGUAGUCGUACGUAGUCAGCCAGACUAUGAACAUUAUUAAUAUUAUGAAUAAUUAAUAAUUAUUAUAUGAUGUAGUCACAUGUGUAGCAAUAUUUGUUAGUCUGUUUGUUGAUUCAGGGUUAGCAUCAUCUGAGGUCCUCUGAGGGUCAGCAUCAUCUCUUCUCAGGUGUUCUGGAUCCAGACUGGAGCUUGUGUAAAUCCCGUGGCAAAACAUAGAAACAAAUAGAGACAUCAUUAGCAUAGCUGCUGAUCCAUCAAAGUAAAAUUAAUUAGUUUAACCAAAGAUAAAGAAUAAUAAUGCACUCACAAUUUAAGAGAUAUAUUAUUUGAAAGCUUGGCGAAAGAGAUGUGUUUUUAAUCUAGAUUUAAACAGAGACAGUGUGUCUGAACCCCGAACAUUAUCAGGAAGUCUAUAUAUUUGAAUAUAUACUGUAUUUUAUAUCUCUGAUGUGCAGCUGAAUGGUCAGCAUCAUUCCUCCAGUCUUCAGUGUCACAUGAUCUUCAGAAAUCAGAAUAAUAUGAUGGUUUACUGCUCAAAUCUACUCAAAUCUUACUAUAUAUAUAUGUGUAUAUAUGUUUUUUUUUUUUAAUUUUCAUCAUCAACAUUUUUCAUCUUUAUCAUCACUUUUAAUCAAUUUAAAUCAUCCUUGCUAAAAAAAAGGCGUUAAUUUCUGUCAUUUCUUUCCACCCAAAAGAAUGGUAUAAUCUAUAUUGUUAAGAAAGCUUUUUAUUUCAAAUAAAUGCAGAUCUUUCUAUUUAAAGAAUCCCUGGGGGAUUGUUUUUCUUGAGCAGUAAAUCAUAUUCUGAAGAUUAUGUGACACUGAAGACUUGAGUAAUGAUGUUGAAAAUAC